rnacentral:rRNA from 1 species
AUUGAACGCUGGCGGCAUGCCUUACACAUGCAAGUCGAACGGUAACAGGUCUUCGGAUGCUGACGAGUGGCGAACGGGUGAGUAAUACAUCGGAACGUGCCCGAUCGUGGGGGAUAACGAGGCGAAAGCUUUGCUAAUACCGCAUACGAUCUACGGAUGAAAGCGGGGGAUCUUCGGACCUCGCGCGGACGGAGCGGCCGAUGGCAGAUUAGGUAGUUGGUGGGAUAAAAGCUUACCAAGCCGACGAUCUGUAGCUGGUCUGAGAGGAUGAUCAGCCACACUGGGACUGAGACACGGCCCAGACUCCUACGGGAGGCAGCAGUGGGGAAUUUUGGACAAUGGGCGAAAGCCUGAUCCAGCCAUGCCGCGUGCAGGAUGAAGGCCUUCGGGUUGUAAACUGCUUUUGUACGGAACGAAAAGCCUCUUUCUAAUAAAGAGAGGUCAUGACGGUACCGUAAGAAUAAGCACCGGCUAACUACGUG